rnacentral:tRNA from 1 species
GGCUCGGUAGCUCAGUCGGUAGAGCAUAGGACUGAAAAUCCUAGUGUCGGCGGUUCGACUCCGUCCCGAGCCA